UACACCUUUUUCAGCUAUUGUUUUUUUUUUCCAGUUUGUGCCCAACGGUUUUUCCGUGUAGGAAUUACUUAGCAAGCAAAUGUUGCCUAUUUUUUCUUUUUUACAAAUUUAACUCAUUUAAUAACUGAUAUGGGUUAAAAUGUAAGCCUGUGUGUCAUCCAUAAUUCUUACUGCACAUAUUUAAUUAAGCAUUUGUUCCUUGCCUGGCUUCAGAACAUAAUGUGAUGGAGGGGUCUUUAUAGUUGUAUUUAUCUCUAAAAAGUGGUUUACUUUCUAUUUGGGGUCUAUGAAUCAAGCUUAUGAAAGUUUGGCAUAUCUCUGUUAGAGAAAUGCAAGUCAAACAAUCUUGAUAAUUCUUAUCUUUUGGACAACAAGGUGUUCGGAUAGAGAAAUGCAAGUCAAACAAUCUUGAUAAUUCUUAUCUUUUGGACAACAAGGUGUUUGGAUAGCUGAACUUUUCUUGAAAGUUCCCCUUGUGUUUCCACCAAAAGAGGAGGCUAACCGCAAAAAGGGCCUCUAAUCCAGAUUCCCAGAAAAAUGAGUUCUAAUGGGUAGUUACAAAAAGGUUUUGCCACCUAAGCUCACAAGGAAAAAGGAAAUGUGACAAGAGAUCAAAGAUAGUUUAAGAAUGCUCAAGCCCUAUAAAAAUUCUAUUGUUCCUCUUCUAAUAGAUUCCAAAUAAUAGCACUUUGGCUUGCCACAAAAAAAUUUAUUUCUUGCAGAAGGGGAUGGAGAAAGUACUUCUUGAUCAUUCCCUGUAGCCCUUGUCUAACCUAGUGAAGAUCAAACUGCUCAAAAAGUUGAUUCAAAACUACAUAAGCUAUAUAGCACAAGUCCAAUGAAUUUGAUAAUUGAUUGCUGGUUGAAAUUCUGAAAUUUGUUCUAUGGAUGGAUUUCUUGCAAUUUCUUGCAUCCUUGAAUUUGAUUGUUGGCCAUCAUUUUCACUUCCAACAUUAACUUCUCAAUAGCUUGUUGGAGCAUGACCGUUGAGGUUUGCCUCAUAAACCAGCCACUAAAGUUUUCAAAUUGCCAAGGUUUGUGAGGAAGUAGAGGGAUGCUUCUGCAUCAUGAGAUUGGAUUUCAGGAAGCUUGUUGGUGUUCUUGAUCAUCAAUUCACCAUCAGGCCUGUUCAUGAAGGCUCUGAUAUCAAUUUGAUGUAGAUUAAGAAUUUUGGAGAAUUCUUGAAGGAAAUGUAUUAUUCAUUUUGUUCAGAAGACUCUUAUUUAUAGAGUUGUAAUACACGUUAGCUUGGGGUAAGGAGGUUAACUAAACUAUUUAACCCUAUUAUCCAGUUAACCCUAUUCUUCUUACCCCAAUUUUCACCUUCUACAUCGAGGUAAGGUUAGAGACCAGAGCGAGAAAGGUUUGACCAAAUAGAGAAAAAAAUGAUUGACAUGAAAAAUUGACAAACUUGGAAUCUAAAUAUGAACACCCCUUCUUUUUUAGGGUAUAGCAAAACUCUCAAGCAAAUGGAGAAGAUCGAUAAUGUAUUUGUUUCCCUUUCAGACAAAAGACAACAGCCCUUUGGCUUGCCUUUUAAUGAGCUUAUUUCUGGAUGUUAUGAGGCAAGAGCAAUAAUCUUUUUUUUUUACUCUUCUAGUUUUGAUCAUUUUGUGGAUUUGGUUUUUUCUACUGCUUUGAAUUGGUGCAAAUCAAAGGAUACCCUUCUUUAAGUAACAUUAUUUAUUAAUUUACCUCACACAUGAAUGUAUAGGCAAAUUUGUAAUAAAAAAUAAACUUGGGAGAGAGUACGGAAGAUGGAAGAUGAAGAACACCACUUUCAUCCACAAAGAUGAAAAACAACACUUUCAAACACAAAUCCUUCAAAAUCCCAUAGUUCAGUACAAAUAUUCCAACAGAAAAAAAUUGCUAAAAUAUCUUGAACAUGCUUUGAAAAAUGUUAAAAAUCUCCAAAACUCCAAUUUGACAUAAGUUACACCGAAACUUAAUGGAUAUUCAAGAACAUAAAAUAAAACCCAAAAACUUGCUCAAAAUUAAGAUUUUGAAAAUGACAAUGCUAGUGAUAGUGAUCUCAAGGUAUGACAUCAAAGGUGUCAGAAGAUUUCGUGGUGGUAGCUGGAAUCGACAUCCAGAAUCGGUUGGAGAGAGCAAAUAACUCCCCAAAUAAAAUCUCACUGACGGUCCACGACGGUAGAUUGCACGACUAGAGUGGGGGCAACAGUCAAGGGAGGUGACAGGGACAGAAGUGGCGAGUUUAGAGGUGUUGCUUAUUGAAGGAAGAGGGGGAGAUGCUGCAAGUGUGCUUCUUCAGCUUCUCCAAGUUUCAUUUUUUAUUACAAAUUUACCCCUCUCCUCUCUUCAUGUGUGAGUAGGAUUAAUAAACAAUAUUUAAUUUAAAAAGGGAUUGAUUGCAACCAUUUAAAAACUAUAAGGGUACAAAUUGAAAAUUAAUGGGUGUGAUUGUUACCAACUCCAUAGUAAGGGAUGGUUUGUGCAAUUUUCCAAAAAAAAAAAAAAAAAAAAACUCU